rnacentral:rRNA from 1 species
CCGGGGCUAAUACCGGAUGGUUGUUUGAACCGCAUGGUUCAGACAUAAAAGGUGGCUUCGGCUACCACUUACAGAUGGACCCGCGGCGCAUUAGCUAGUUGGUGAGGUAACGGCUCACCAAGGCAACGAUGCGUAGCCGACCUGAGAGGGUGAUCGGCCACACUGGGACUGAGACACGGCCCAGACUCCUACGGGAGGCAGCAGUAGGGAAUCUUCCGCAAUGGACGAAAGUCUGACGGAGCAACGCCGCGUGAGUGAUGAAGGUUUUCGGAUCGUAAAGCUCUGUUGUUAGGGAAGAACAAGUGCCGUUCAAAUAGGGCGGCACCUUGACGGUACCUAACCAGAAAGCCACGGCUAACUACGUGCCAGCAGCCGCGGUAAUACGUAGGUGGCAAGCGUUGUCCGGAAUUAUUGGGCGUAAAGGGCUCGCAGGCGGUUUCUUAAGUCUGAUGUGAAAGCCCCCGGCUCAACCGGGGAGGGUCAUUGGAAACUGGGGAACUUGAGUGCAGAAGAGGAGAGUGGAAUUCCACGUGUAGCGGUGAAAUGCGUAGAGAUGUGGAGGAACACCAGUGGCGAAGGCGACUCUCUGGUCUGUAACUGACGCUGAGGAGCGAAAGCGUGGGGAGCGAACAGGAUUAGAUACCCUGGUAGUCCACGCCGUAAACGAUGAGUGCUAAGUGUUAGGGGGUUUCCGCCCCUUAGUGCUGCAGCUAACGCAUUAAGCACUCCGCCUGGGGAGUACGGUCGCAAGACUGAAACUCAAAGGAAUUGACGGGGGCCCGCACAAGCGGUGGAGCAUGUGGUUUAAUUCGAAGCAACGCGAAGAACCUUACCAGGUCUUGACAUCCUCUGACAAUCCUAGAGAUAGGACGUCCCCUUCGGGGGCAGAGUGACAGGUGGUGCAUGGUUGUCGUCAGCUCGUGUCGUGAGAUGUUGGGUUAAGUCCCGCAACGAGCGCAACCCUUGAUCUUAGUUGCCAGCAUUCAGUUGGGCACUCUAAGGUGACUGCCGGUGACAAACCGGAGGAAGGUGGGGAUGACGUCAAAUCAUCAUGCCCCUUAUGACCUGGGCUACACACGUGCUACAAUGGACAGAACAAAGGGCAGCGAAACCGCGAGGUUAAGCCAAUCCCACAAAUCUGUUCUCAGUUCGGAUCGCAGUCUGCAACUCGACUGCGUGAAGCUGGAAUCGCUAGUAAUCGCGGAUCAGCAUGCCGCGGUGAAUACGUUC